rnacentral:rRNA from 1 species
GACGAACGCUGGCGGCGUGCUUAACACAUGCAAGUCGAACGGAAAGGCCUGCUUUCCCUUGUGGAUUGCGGGUACUCGAGUGGCGAACGGGUGAGUAACACGUGAGUGAUCUGCCCCCAACUUGGGUAUAAGCCUGGGAAACUGGGUCUAAUUCCCGAUAGGACUGCAGGGUGGUGCCUGUGGUGGAAAACGAUUUUCUAGUGGUUGGGGAUGAGCUCGCGGCCUAUCAGCUUGUUGGUGGGGUAAUGGCCUACCAAGGCGGCGACGGGUAGCCGGCCUGAGAGGGUGGACGGCCACAUUGGGACUGAGAUACGGCCCAGACUCCUACGGGAGGCAGCAGUGGGGAAUAUUGCACAAUGGGCGGAAGCCUGAUGCAGCGACGCCGCGUGGGGGAUGACGGCCUUCGAGUUGUAAACUCCUUUCGACCGCGAGGAAGCCACCUGGUUGGAAGGGUGGUGACGGUAGUGGUAGAAGAAGCACCGGCUAACUACGUG